rnacentral:rRNA from 1 species
UACAGGGGGUGCAAACGUUGCUCGGAAUUAUUGGGCGUAAAGCGCACGUAGGCGGUUUGUUAUGUCGGAUGUGAAAGCCCUUGGCUCAACUGAGGAAGUGCAUCCGAAACUGGUAAGCUAGAGUAUGUAAGAGGGUCGCGGAAUUCCCGGUGUAGAGGUGAAAUUCGUAGAUAUCGGGAGGAACACCGGUGGCGAAGGCGGCGACCUGGGACAAUACUGACGCUGAGGUGCGAAAGCGUGGGGAGCAAACAGG